rnacentral:rRNA from 1 species
UACGGAGGGUGCAAGCGUUAAUCGGAAUUACUGGGCGUAAAGCGCACGUAGGUGGUUUGCUAAGCUAGCUGUGAAAUCCCCGGGCUCAACCUGGGCACUGCAGUUAGAACUGGCAAGCUAGAGUAGGGUAGAGGGGUGUGGAAUUCCAGGUGUAGCGGUGAAAUGCGUAGAUAUCUGGAGGAACAUCAGUGGCGAAGGCGACACCCUGGACUCAUACUGACACUGAGGUGCGAAAGCGUGGGGAGCAAACAGG